GGAGAGUUGGCAGAGCGGUCGAUUGCACCGGUCUUGAAAACCGGCAGGGGUUCACGCCCCUCGUGAGUUCGAAUCUCACACUCUCCGCCA
rnacentral:tRNA from 1 species